rnacentral:rRNA from 1 species
AGCGAACGCUGGCGGCAGGCUUAACACAUGCAAGUCGAGCGGGCGUAGCAAUACGUCAGCGGCAGACGGGUGAGUAACGCGUGGGAACGUACCUUUUGGUUCGGAACAACACAGGGAAACUUGUGCUAAUACCGGAUAAGCCCUUACGGGGAAAGAUUUAUCGCCGAAAGAUCGGCCCGCGUCUGAUUAGCUAGUUGGUGAGGUAACGGCUCACCAAGGCGACGAUCAGUAGCUGGUCUGAGAGGAUGAUCAGCCACAUUGGGACUGAGACACGGCCCAAACUCCUACGGGAGGCAGCAGUGGGGAAUAUUGGACAAUGGGCGCAAGCCUGAUCCAGCCAUGCCGCGUGAGUGAUGAAGGCCCUAGGGUUGUAAAGCUCUUUUGUGCGGGAAGAUAAUGACGGUACCGCAAGAAUAAGCCCCGGCUAACUUCGUGCCAGCCGCCGCCGUAAAAC